CUAUCUGAUAAAGUCAUUUCUCGCACAGUGAGAGGAGCAUUGGAUCAUCAGAGAUUCAUGUUCUGUAGUACCAGGAAGCAUAAGACCAAUCAGGUGCCGAUCUGAUCCAAUACAAUCACACAAGAGUCUUUAUUCACAAGUUCAAACUCGGGCUUAAGUCAUGCUGACACACAGGAUGGUUUCGGUGGAUAAAAGCCCCAAACACUCUUCAGGACAAGAUUUUAUAGGAAAUAUCAAGAGAAGGCUGCCAGAAUCUAGCACUUCAGAAACAAAGUACCAGAGAAACAAAUGGGCAGCAAACAUCAACUCUGAAAAACAUUGUAUCUGAUCUAUUCAGCUUGGAUAGUGAAUUUCUUUCCAUAAAUAGUUAAUAAGAUUAAAAUAUUUGGUGCACAAUUUAAAAAGAAAGGUCAUGGGGAGGAAUAUCCAGAGGAUGAUACU